rnacentral:rRNA from 1 species
GACGAACGCUGGCGGCGUGCCUAAUACAUGCAAGUCGAACGAACGGAUUGAGGAGCGUUGCGUCUUCAUGAAGUUAGUGGCGGACGGGUGAGUAACACGUGGGUAACCUGCCCUUCAGUGGGGGAUAACAUCCGGAAACGACUGCUAAUACCGCAUAACGUGCAUUGAUCGCAUGAUCGAAGCACCAAAGGAUUUAUUCGCUGAAGGAUGGGCUCGCGUCCGAUUAGCUAGUUGGUGAGGUAACGGCUCACCAAGGCGACGAUCGGUAGCCGAACUGAGAGGUUGAUCGGCCGCAUUGGGACUGAGACACGGCCCAG